rnacentral:rRNA from 1 species
UAGGGAAUCUUCGGCAAUGGGGGCAACCCUGACCGAGCAACGCCGCGUGAGUGAAGAAGGUUUUCGGAUCGUAAAGCUCUGUUGUAAGAGAAGAACGUGUGUGAGAGUGGAAAGUUCACACAGUGACGGUAACUUACCAGAAAGGGACGGCUAACUACGUGCCAGCAGCCGCGGUAAUACGUAGGUCCCGAGCGUUGUCCGGAUUUAUUGGGUGUAAAGCGAGCGCAGGCGGUUUAAUAAGUCUGAAGUUAAAGGCAGUGGCUUAACCAUUGUUCGCUUUGGAAACUGUUAAACUUGAGUGCAGAAGGGGAGAGUGGAAUUCCAUGUGUAGCGGUGAAAUGCGUAGAUAUAUGGAGGAACACCGGUGGCGAAAGCGGCUCUCUGGUCUGUAACUGACGCUGAGGCUCGAAAGCGUGGGGAGCAAACAGG